UUUAGAAGUAUUUUAACUUUUAUAUAAAAAUUAUUGGUAGAAACACACACUCUUACUUAAACUGCAUAUUAUUUUGAACGGACUAUCUAAUUUUUCAAAAUUUUAACUUUACUAUUCAAUCUUUCUAACUUCAAAAUUUAAAUACGUCGUUUACUUUUACAGAUUUAGUUAACAUACUUACAUAUGAUUCUAACAACUAUAAAUUUAAUAAAAUAAAAAAUUAAGUUAAAUUUUAAAAUUAAAGUGUUGCAAUAAUACACCCUCUCAUGAUCUCAUCUGUUCCAUCCCCAUUGGGUAAGUUGCCCACUAACUACCUUCAAUGGUUGGUGGCCCGUCCCAAGAACUGCCGUAAAAGGACAGUACGUAUUUGCAACACAUUGAUUGAUACUGCAUGGAGCCAUGAAUCCAUGCCUUUCAACAACGCAAUAAUUCCAGCCCAUGCAGUUGUCCCUGGCGGCUGGCGCACGUUGCAAAAAACUUGAUAAUUGAUAUCCGAGGUCUCAAGUUUGUAUUCUAAUUUAUUCACAUUUUUAACUAAAUUUUUCUAAAUAAAAUAAACGAAGCGGAUAGCAUACUACCUAUCUCUCAAAAAAAAAAAAAUUUUUUUUUUAGCCUGUAUGGUGCCGCAGAUAUAAAAUAUUUUAAAAAUAAAUUAUUUGUUUUUUAAUUGUACGUAUUUUUUUUAUUUUAACUAUUAGUUAAAUUUGCUUAACUAAUAAUAAUUUAAAUCGGUAUAUGUGCGAUAUAGUUUUUUAUAGGGUAAAUUGCAUAUUUGAUUAUUCAAAUUUUAAUUUCUUAUAAUUAAUCUUUGGGUCCAACUUUUAGAUUUUAUAUAUUAAUUGACUAAAUAUUAAUUUAUCGCUAACGCAAAAGUGAAAUAAUAAUAUUGCAUCAAUGAUUAAAAUGGUACAUUACUUUUACAUGAAUGAUCAAUCAAUAUUUAGUCAAUUAAAAGUUCGAGCGAAAGAUUAUAAUAAAUUAUUAUUUGAAGAUUAAAAUAUUGUCUGGCUCAUAGUUUGAGGACCAAACAUACAAUUUACUCGAUUUU
rnacentral:lncRNA from 1 species